rnacentral:rRNA from 1 species
AUUGAACGCUGGCGGCAUGCCUUACACAUGCAAGUCGAACGGCAGCGCGGGAGCAAUCCUGGCGGCGAGUGGCGAACGGGUGAGUAAUAUAUCGGAACGUGCCCAGUAGUGGGGGAUAGCCCGGCGAAAGCCGGAUUAAUACCGCAUACGACCUACGGGUGAAAGGGGGGGAUCGCAAGACCUCUCGCUAUUGGAGCGGCCGAUAUCAGAUUAGGUAGUUGGUGGGGUAAAGGCCCACCAAGCCUACGAUCUGUAGUUGGUCUGCGAGGACGACCAGCCACACUGGGACUGAGACACGGACCAGACUCCUACGGGAGGCAGCAGUGGGGAAUUUUGGACAAUGGGGGCAACCCUGAUCCAGCAAUGCCGCGUGCAGGAAGAAGGCCUUCGGGUUGUAAACUGCUUUUGUCAGGGAAGAAAUCCCUUGGGUUAAUACCUCGGGGGGAUGACGGUACCUGAAGAAUAAGCACCGGCUAACUACGUGCCAGCCGCCGCAGUAAAAC